CAUAAUAUUUCAUGUUUUAGAAUGGGCUGAAAUAGUGGAGGCUUCGAAAAAUAUUAUUAAAUAUGGUGUGCCUUUUCCAAGUAAACAACAAAGAAAAGAGUUGGCGAAGAAGAAAGAUAUUGACGAUAUUAAUUCUGAUUCUAAGAAACUUUUAAAACCAUUAGGGGAAAAAAAAAGAUUGGCACAGAACAAGAGAGACGACAAACACUUUGUAACAGUAAAAACUGUAAGAGAUAAAGAAUUCAAAUUAAAAGAUGAUGACUUUUUCGAUAGUAUUGGGUCCUCGCUUUAAAAAAAAAAAGGGUAUCAAUAUGAUAGCAAAGACUGCUGAUGUAGAAAUAAUACAGCAGAAGAGAAAGAAAAAGGAGAAACAGACAAACAUUAUCUUUUCUUCCUCAAAUGAAUCUGGUGAGGAAUCAGAAGAAAAAAAUAAAUUAUCAAAAAGUCAGUUGUUAUUAAAGGUCAGCAUCCUUGAAGCUGAAGUUAAGAGACUUUGUAAUGACUUGAAACUUUAUAAGACUAUGCAUGUUAUCG